AAACGAGAACGAGGCAGGUACACAAGGAAGGACGUUGGCCAUUGUUGUCCAGAGUCAGGCUCGGCGCGACGGCGCGCUGAGCAACCACACAAACGGGUUGAACAUUGCUCCUGUCUAACGCUACUACCUGGAAGCAUGCGUUUCUUCUGCGAUGGCCACUCUCAAAGAACAUGACCAUUGUUAUGCAAUGGCUGGGAACCUGGAAACAAACACUGUCAAAUACCGAGAGGGACGUUCACCACAGACCGCCAGCAGGCGAUCAAGGGAGCUCACCCAGUCACAGUGUGCAAGGCUGCACACCACAGGGGUUCUGGUGAGAGCAGUACAUACAACAAGAUUGUACAUUGAUGUCAGAGACGACCAGUGGCCUAUUGUGUACUGCAGUGACUACAACAUUAGUUUCUUGGGCUUAGAAAAGCUACAUCCAUUUGAUGCUGGAAAAUGGGGACGUGUCAUUGAGUUUCUUAAAAAGGCAGGAAUGGUACGGGAUGACACAUUGGUGGUGCCUGUUGAGGCCAGUGAGGAAGAUCUAAGGGUGGUGCACUCAUCAGGCUAUCUCUCUAGUUUAAAGCUCACAAGUAUUGUUGAAGGAAUAACAGAGUGGAGUAUCACUGUUGCGGGAAUCACUGAGGUUCCUCCAGUGGCGCUGCUUCCCAAUUUUAUUGUACAGAGAAAAGUUCUUAGGCCUUUGCGUUUUCAAACAGGGGGUACCAUUCUGGCAGCCAAGCUAGCUGUGGAGCGUGGGUGGGCACUGAAUGUUGGUGGUGGAUUCCACCAUUGCUCUGCAGACAAAGGGGGUGGAUUCUGUGCAUAUGCCGACAUUACCUUGGCAUUGCGCUUCCUUUUUGACCGGGUUGAAGGCAUUGCAAAGGCCAUGAUUGUUGAUCUAGAUGCUCAUCAGGGAAAUGGCCACGAACGAGACUUUAUGAAUGAUGAGCGUGUUUACAUCAUGGAUGUCUUUAACAGAGGGAUUUAUCCACAUGAUGGUUUUGCAAAGAGAGCGAUUAGGAAAAAGGUGGAGUUGGAACACUUCACUGAUGACAGAGAAUAUCUGCAUAAAGUGCACAAGCACCUGGAAGAAGCGCUCGUUGAGUUUACACCUGAUAUCCUUUUAUAUAAUGCUGGCACAGACAUAUUGGAUGGCGAUCCACUGGGCUGUCUUUCCAUUUCACCGCAGGGCAUCAUAGAAAGAGACCAGAUUGUCUUUGAGAAAGCUCGUGCCAGAGGAAUCCCUAUUUUAAUGGUGACGAGUGGAGGCUAUCAACGUGCAACAGCUCGGAUUAUUGCUGACUCCAUUCUUAACCUUCAAGAACUCAAGCUUAUCAGUUGUGAUGAAGCUGAGCAGUCCCACUCUUCAUCAUCAGAUUUCAGAUUCCCACAAGCAAUGGCGUAGACUUUGCAUUUGCAAUCUGUAAUGGCCUGGCUUUGAAGAAAAUACCUUAGAUCACCUGGUUGUUGGAGAGUAACAAGCUUGGGGCCCUUCCGCGCAGUCGCAGUGAGAGUUUGGUGUCACGACUACGCAGCUGUGUGUCACAUUCCUCGACGUCCCAAGACCUGAACAAAGAGGACGAGAGAUAUUCUGUUGACA
rnacentral:misc_RNA from 1 species